rnacentral:rRNA from 1 species
AUUGAACGCUGGCGGCAUGCCUUACACAUGCAAGUCGAACGGCAGCACGGGAGCAAUCCUGGUGGCGAGUGGCGAACGGGUGAGUAAUAUAUCGGAACGUGCCCAGUCGUGGGGGAUAACGUAGCGAAAGCUACGCUAAUACCGCAUACGAUCUACGGAUGAAAGCGGGGGAUCGCAAGACCUCGCGCGAUUGGAGCGGCCGAUAUCAGAUUAGCUAGUUGGUGGGGUAAAAGCUCACCAAGGCGACGAUCUGUAGCUGGUCUGAGAGGACGACCAGCCACACUGGAACUGAGACACGGUCCAGACUCCUACGGGAGACAGCAGUGGGGAAUUUUGGACAAUGGGCGCAAGCCUGAUCCAGCAAUGCCGCGUGCAGGAUGAAGGCCUUCGGGUUGUAAACUGCUUUUGUACGGAACGAAACGGUGAGCUCUAAUAAAGCUUGCUAAUGACGGUACCGUAAGAAUAAGCACCGGCUAACUACGUG